rnacentral:rRNA from 1 species
AACGAACGCUGGCGGCAUGCCUAACACAUGCAAGUCGAACGAGACCUUCGGGUCUAGUGGCGCACGGGUGCGUAACGCGUGGGAACCUGCCCUUAGGUUCGGAAUAACUCCCCGAAAGGGGUGCUAAUACCGGAUCAUGUCUUCGGACCAAAGAUUUAUCGCCUUUGGAUGGGCCCGCGUUGGAUUAGCUAGUUGGUAGGGUAAAAGCCUACCAAGGCGACGAUCCAUAGCUGGUCUGAGAGGAUGAUCAGCCACACUGGGACUGAGACACGGCCCAGACUCCUACGGGAGGCAGCAGUGGGGGAUAUUGGACAAUGGGCGGAAGCCUGAUCCAGCAAGGCCGCGUGAGUGAUGAAGGCCUUAGAGUUGUAAAGCUCUUUUACCCGGGAUGAUAAUGACAGUACCGGGAGAAUAAGCUCCGGCUAACUCCGUG